ACGCUCGACACCUACGGGAGACAGCAGUCGGGAAUAUUGCGCAAUGGAGGAAACUCUGACGCAGUGACGCCGCGUGCAGGAAGAAGGUUUUCGGAUUGUAAACUGCUUUAGACAGGGAAGAAAAAAGACAGUACCUGUAGAAUAAGCCCCGGCUAACUACGUGCUAGCAGCCGCGGUAAUCUGAGCGGGCUGGCGAAGGC
rnacentral:rRNA from 1 species